CGACAGUUGGCAACACUACACGCCCGCCAUUCAACUUGACUCUGUAAUAUCCGGUACGCCAGCACGCUCGGCCAUUUUUGCCGUGUUCGUUUCGGUGAGAGGACGUUCUUCAUCUCGCUGCUGUGACGAUCUUUCGGCAUGGUUAACGGAAGAAUUCCGUCGGUCUUCUCCAAGACCUACGUCACGCCCAGACGGCCAUACGAGAAAGCUCGUCUCGAUCAGGAGUUACGCAUCAUCGGAGAAUAUGGUCUCCGUAACAAACGCGAAGUCUGGAGGGUCAAGUAUACCUUGGCCAAGAUCCGCAAGGCCGCUCGUGAGUUGCUCACGUUGGAAGAGAAGGACCCGAAGCGGCUUUUCGAAGGAAAUGCCCUGUUGCGUCGUUUGGUAAGGAUCGGUGUAUUGAAUGAAGCCCAUAUGAAGCUCGAUUAUGUGUUGGGUUUAAAGAUUGAGGACUUCUUGGAGCGACGCCUGCAGACUCAAGUGUUCAAGUUGGGUCUUGCUAAGUCCAUCCAUCAUGCUCGUGUGCUCAUUCGCCAACGGCAUAUUCGGUACCAGGACUAUGGAACCUGAUCGACCAGACCUGGUUGAUCACAUUCACUGAGCCAAGAAUUCAAUUGUGUUAACUUAAUGAAAAUUUUAUUCGCGCAGGCCACUUGAGUGUCGUUCAUCGGCACUUAACGCCUGUUGAACUGUCGGGAGUCUUCGUUCUCAUCGAGAAAGAGGGAUAGAGUUUCGCGUGCGCAAACAGGUGGUGAACAUCCCAUCGUUCAUCGUACGACUGGACUCGCAGAAGCACAUCGACUUCUCGCUUAAGUCACCCUUCGGCGGAGGCAGACCCGGUCGUGUUAAGAGGAAGAACCUGAGAAAGGGAAGCGGUGGUGCCGCACCGGAAGAGGAAGAGGAUUAAAAUAAUCGGUAUUGACGCCAUUUAUUAUAUCAAUAAAUGUGUGGCGGGUGAUAAUCGA